rnacentral:misc_RNA from 1 species
UCCGGUUUGGCACCGGCGGUCUCCCAUGAGUUCCCGGCAUCACCCGCUGGCAACAUGGGACAGGGGUUGCGCUCGUUGCGCCACUUAAGGCAACACCUCACGGCACGAGCUGACGACAGCCAUGCAGCACCUGUGCGGGCUCCCGAAGGAGGACCGGCUUUCACCGGCUUCACCCCGCAUGUCAAGCCCUGGUAAGGUUCUUCGCGUUGCGUCGAAUUAAGCCACAUGCUCCGCCGCUUGUGUGGGCCCCCGUCAAUUCCUUUGAGUUUUAGCCUUGCGGCCGUACUCCCCAGGCGGGGUGCUUAAUGCGUUAGCGUCGGCACCGAGGGGGUCGAUACCCCCGACACCUAGCACCCAACGUUUAGGGCGUGGACUAC